AUACUUAACCCGACAGGGAGAUACCAUGAUCACGAAGGUGGUUUUCCCAGGGCGAGGCUUAUCCAUUGCACUCCGAAGGUGCCGACCCCUGUGAUUUCCGUAAAUGUGGGAAACCUGACUGCAUAUUUGUGGUAGUGGGGGACUGCGUUCGUGCUCUCCCCUU
ensembl:snRNA U1 U1 spliceosomal RNA